AACGAACGCUGGCGGCAUGCCUAACACAUGCAAGUCGAACGGGAUCCGGACUUCGGUCCGGUGAGAGUGGCGGACGGGUGAGUAACACGUGGGAACCUGCCUUUUGGUUCGGGAUAACCGCGGGAAACUGCGGCUAAUACCGGAUGCUCCCGAGAGGGAAAAGAUUUAUCGCCAGAAGAGGGGCCCGCGUCCGAUUAGGUAGUUGGUGGGGUAAUGGCCUACCAAGCCGACGAUCGGUAGCUGGUCUGAGAGGAUGAUCAGCCACACUGGGACUGAGAUACGGCCCAGACUCCUACGGGAGGCAGCAGUGGGGAAUAUUGGACAAUGGGGGCAACCCUGAUCCAGCAAUGCCGCGUGAGUGAUGAAGGCCUUAGGGUUGUAAAGCUCUUUUGCCAGGGAAGAUGAUGACUGUACCUGGAGAAUAAGCCCCGGCUAGCUUCGUGCCAGCAGCCGCGGUAAU
rnacentral:rRNA from 1 species